GCAGUCGAGCGAACAGAUAAGGAGCUUGCUCCUUUGACGUUAGCGGCGGACGGGUGAGUAACACGUGGGUAACCUACCUAUAAGACUGGAAUAACUCCGGGAAACCGGGGCUAAUGCCGGAUAACAUGUUGAACCGCAUGGUUCUACAGUGAAAGGCGGCUUUGCUGUCACUUAUAGAUGGACCCGCGCCGUAUUAGCUAGUUGGUGAGGUAACGGCUCACCAAGGCAACGAUACGUAGCCGACCUGAGAGGGUGAUCGGCCACACUGGAACUGAGACACGGUCCAGACUCCUACGGGAGGCAGCAGUAGGGAAUCUUCCGCAAUGGGCGAAAGCCUGACGGAGCAACGCCGCGUGAGUGAUGAAGGUCUUCGGAUCGUAAAACUCUGUUAUUAGGGAAGAACAAAUGCGUAAGUAACUGUGCGCGUCUUGACGGUACCUAAUCAGAAAGCCACGGCUAACUACGUGCCAGCAGCCGCGGUAAUACGUAGGUGGCAAGCGUUAUCCGGAAUUAUUGGGCGUAAAGCGCGCGUAGGCGGUUUUUUAAGUCUGAUGUGAAAGCCCACGGCUCAACCGUGGAGGGUCAUUGGAAACUGAAAAACUUGAGUGCAGAAGAGGAAAGUGGAAUUCCAUGUGUAGCGGUGAAAUGCGCAGAGAUAUGGAGGAACACCAGUGGCGAAGGCGACUGUUCUGGUCUGUAACUGACGCUGAUGUGCGAAAGCGUGGGGAUCAAACAGGAUUAGAUACCCUGGUAGUCCACGCCGUAAACGAUGAGUGCUAAGUGUUAGGGGGUUUCCGCCCCUUAGUGCUGCAGCUAACGCAUUAAGCACUCCGCCUGGGGAGUACGGCCGCAAGGCUUAAACUCAAAGGAAUUGACGGGGACCCGCACAAGCGGUGGAGCAUGUGGUUUAAUUCGAAGCAACGCGAACAACCUUACCAUAUCUUGACAUCCUUUGACCGGUCUAGAGAUAGAGUCUUCCCCUUCGGGGUAAAGUGACAGUG
rnacentral:rRNA from 1 species